AUACUUACCUGGCGUAGGGGAUACCGUGAUCACGAAGGUGGUUCCUCCAGGGCGAGGCCCUUCCAUUGCACUACGGUCGGGCUGACCCUUGCGAUUAACCCAAAUGCGGUUAACUCGGACGCGUAAUUUUUGGUAGUGGGGACUGCGUACGCGCUGUCCCCUU